GCCGGUAUAGCUCAGCAGGUAGAGCACCUGAUUUGUAAUCAGGGUGUCACGGGUUCGAUUCCUGUUACCGGCUCCA
rnacentral:tRNA from 2 species